rnacentral:rRNA from 1 species
GGCAGUGGGCGCUAGAGUAUACAUGGGGUCGUACGAACUUCCGUUAAUUGAUUAUGACGUACUUGUACUGAUUGAGAUUUUAACACGAAGUGAGUGGCGAACGGGUGAGUAACACGUGGGUAACCUGCCCAGAAGUAGGGGAUAACACCUGGAAACAGAUGCUAAUACCGUAUAACAGAGAAAACCGCAUGGUUUUCUUUUAAAAGAUGGCUCUGCUAUCACUUCUGGAUGGACCCGCGGCGUAUUAGCUAGUUGGUGAGGUAAAGGCUCACCAAGGCAGUGAUACGUAGCCGACCUGAGAGGGUAAUCGGCCACAUUGGGACUGAGACACGGCCCAGACUCCUACGGGAGGCAGCAGUAGGGAAUCUUCCACAAUGGACGCAAGUCUGAUGGAGCAACGCCGCGUGAGUGAAGAAGGGUUUCGGCUCGUAAAGCUCUGUUGUUAAAGAAGAACGUGGGUAAGAGUAACUGUUUACCCAGUGACGGUAUUUAACCAGAAAGCCACGGCUAACUACGUGCCAGCAGCCGCGGUAAUACGUAGGUGGCAAGCGUUAUCCGGAUUUAUUGGGCGUAAAGCGAGCGCAGGCGGUCUUUUAAGUCUAAUGUGAAAGCCUUCGGCUCAACCGAAGAAGUGCAUUGGAAACUGGGAGACUUGAGUGCAGAAGAGGACAGUGGAACUCCAUGUGUAGCGGUGAAAUGCGUAGAUAUAUGGAAGAACACCAGUGGCGAAGGCGGCUGUCUGGUCUGCAACUGACGCUGAGGCUCGAAAGCAUGGGUAGCGAACAGGAUUAGAUACCCUGGUAGUCCAUGCCGUAAACGAUGAUUACUAAGUGUUGGAGGGUUUCCGCCCUUCAGUGCUGCAGCUAACGCAUUAAAGUAAUCCGCCUGGGGAGUACGACCGCAAGGUUGAAACUCAAAAGAAUUGACGGGGGCCCGCACAAGCGGUGGAGCAUGUGGUUUAUUCGAAGCUACGCGAAGAACCUUACCAGGUCUUGACAUCUUCUGACAGUCUAAGAGAUAGAGGUUCCCUUC